AGGUACAUACCAUAGCAACGAAAUAACUAUCGAUCGGGUAUAUGUACAAAUGCUCUGUGGAGCUUUAAUGCAUAUAAGAAAAUAAAAUGAUAUAUACCCAAGACGAUACAAUGUCGACAGCAAGUAAAAAAAUUGCAAAAAGGAAAAUAAAAUAUAAGUAGUAGUUGAUCAGUAUCCGAAUCAAGUAAGGCAAGCAAACAGAGGGGGUAUAUCCUUCUUUUCUUAAAAAAAAAAAGAACACCUCACACCAGCGUCGGCUCAUCGAUUUCAUUUCGUGGACAAGAGAAGACGGCGUCGGCGGUGCUGCCGCUGUGACGGUGCCGCGGCUGCCGUCUGGGGUGGUGGCGGCGACGAGGUGUCACCGUCGUGGUCGAGACUUUGGCCUCGCACAGACCGCCCCUGGGGCGACGGAGGUGGCCGCGGAGGACGCGAUCCUCUACUCUCUACAUGUAUCACAAAGCAAAUGUAAUGAGUUGCAACAAAAAGGAGAUAUCAAAUAUUCCCUUAGGCCUUGUUUGGUACAAGUGUUUUUGACGAGAUUGGUGGGGAUAAUCCCUCAAGGGAUUGGGUGAAACCACAACCUUCACCCAAUCCCUUCAAAUCCUUAUUUAUCCCCAAUACAUUAGGUAGGGGUAGUGUAUUGGAUAUUGAAAAAAAUGCACUAUAAUUUGAGAAUUUGAGAGGAAAUGUGGGGAUGAAACAUGUCAAAUACACUAGAACCAAAUGAAGUUAUGUGAUGUGUGGGGAUUGAGGGGUUUGACCGAAAUAAUCCUCAUAAAUUUCCUAAAAUACACUAGUACCAAACAAGGCCUUAGUGUCAUAAAUAACAUCAGACCUUUUUGCAAACUAUGUUAUCUCAAUAAAAACGUCCUAUAUUAUGAAAGGAAGGGAGUAGUGUAAUGCAUACUCCCUACUAUAACAUGCACACACGAAGGACACGAUCGACUCGAGAGCGAUUAGCAGUAGUAGUUACCGGCUGCUGAGCAGAUGAACGUAGCAGCCAGGAUGAUGAUCAGGAGCACCAGGGUGUGUGCCCAAGAAGAGGAGCCGCUCGCCAUGGCCAUCUUCUCUUCUUUCUCUCUCUCUAUCUCUCUAUGUGGAUGUGAUGCUUUUGCUUCAAUCGGAGCAACCUACAAGGAAUGGGCCAAACCAGACCACGGCAAGCUUG
rnacentral:lncRNA from 1 species